GAGUUUGAUCGUGGCUAGGACGAACGCUGGCGGCGUGCUUAACACAUGCAAGUCGAACGGUAAGGCUCCAGCUUGCUGGGGUACACGAGUGGCGAACGGGUGAGUAACACGUGGGUGACCUGCCCUGCACUUCGGGAUAAGCCUGGGAAACUGGGUCUAAUACCGGAUAGGACCGCACCGUGAGGGUGUGGUGGAAAGUUUUUUCGGUGUGGGAUGGGCCCGCGGCCUAUCAGCUUGUUGGUGGGGUAAUGGCCUACCAAGGCGGCGACGGGUAGCCGGCCUGAGAGGGUGGACGGCCACAUUGGGACUGAGACACGGCCCAGACUCCUACGGGAGGCAGCAGUGGGGAAUAUUGCACAAUGGGCGGAAGCCUGAUGCAGCGACGCCGCGUGGGGGAUGACGGCCUUCGGUU
rnacentral:rRNA from 1 species